GACGAACGCUGGCGGCGUGCUUAACACAUGCAAGUCGAACGAAGAGCGAUGGAAGCUUGCUUCUAUCAAUCUUAGUGGCGAACGGGUGAGUAACGCGUAAUCAACCUGCCCUUCAGAGGGGGACAACAGUUGGAAACGACUGCUAAUGCCGCAUACGAUCUAAUCUCGGCAUCGAGGAAAGAUGAAAGGUGGCCUCUAUUUAUAAGCUAUCACUGAAGGAGGGGAUUGCGUCUGAUUAGCUAGUUGGAGGGGUAACGGCCCACCAAGGCGAUGAUCAGUAGCCGGUCUGAGAGGAUGAACGGCCACAUUGGGACUGAGACACGGCCCAGACUCCUACGGGAGGCAGCAGUGGGGAAUCUUCCGCAAUGGACGAAAGUCUGACGGAGCAACGCCGCGUGAGUGAUGACGGCCUUCGGGUUGUAAAGCUCUGUUAAUCGGGACGAAAGGCCUUCUUGCGAACAGUUAGAAGG
rnacentral:rRNA from 1 species